rnacentral:rRNA from 1 species
GACGUAGGGUGCGAGCGUUGUCCGGAUUUAUUGGGCGUAAAGAGCUCGUAGGCGGCUCGUCGCGUCGACCGUGAAAACCCGCAGCUUAACUGCGGGCUUGCGGUUGAUACGGGCGGGCUAGAGUUCGGUAGGGGAGACUGGAAUUCCUGGUGUAGCGGUGAAAUGCGCAGAUAUCAGGAGGAACACCGGUGGCGAAGGCGGGUCUCUGGGCCGAUACUGACACUGAGGCGCGAAAGCGUGGGGAGCGAACAGG